AUGGAGGCGGUUAAGGCAUUUAACGCGGAGCUAUCAGCUCUGUACGAUGUCAAACCGCCAAUUUCCAAGGCUAAAAUGAACUCUUUAACUAGGGGUGCAAUUAAGGCAAUCAAAUUCUAUAAACAUGUUGUGCAAAGUGUUGAGAAAUUCAUUCAAAAGUGUAAACCAGAGUACAAAGUGCCUGGAUUGUACGUUAUAGAUUCAAUUGUACGCCAAUCCAGACAUCAGUUUGGAGUGGAGAAAGAUGUUUUUGCUCCACGUUUUGCCAAGAACAUGCAAACCACCUUCUUAAAUCUUUUAAAGUGUCCUCAGGAGGAUAAAAGCAAAGUGAUAAGGGUUUUAAAUCUUUGGCAAAAGAAUGCAGUUUUUCCUUCUGAGGUUAUACAACCUCUGUUUGAUCUUGCAGACCCAAAUCAUCCAAUACAUAAGGAACAGGCAGUUAAUUCUAAUGGUACACUAAAUGUUCCUUCAACGAAUAACGCAAGUAAUACUGCAAGUGCAGUAAAAACUCCGCCUUUAAGUGCAAAGAAUGCAGUGAAAGAUCAAAAGUUAUUUUCUUCUGCAAAGCCAAUCGAUCCUGCUUGGCUUGCACAAACAAAAAUGGAAACAGCGAAUAUAGUUAACGCCAAUAAACUUUUAGGGCAAUCGAAUUCAACUCAAGUGGAUGCUUCUUUUCUCGACCAACUACAACAUUUACAGCAAUUAUUAUUAAAAAAACAGGAAUCAGCGAGUGAACAAAAGAGUUCUGUAAAAUUUGAUAAGAAACUUUUAGAUUUUGAUUAUGGGGAGGAAGAAGACGAUGAUGUUGUUGUUGCUAAUUCGCCAACAACAACAACAACAUCUAAUACUGGUCAACAUAAUACAGUCUCUGCUGGAAAUAGUUUGGAGAGUCUUGGACUUCUUUUAACAAAUCCAGAGGUUUUAAGACAACUUCAAACGUUGCAACAAACAAUGCAAGGAAGUGCUUCUUCGUCGCAACAUGAAAUGGAAGAGAAAAUGCGAAAAUUGCAGCAAAUGAAGCAACAAGAGGAGGAAUUUGAUAAGCACUUAGCUCAAACUGUUCCUAAUUUACCAUUUGCAUCAGAAUGCGAAUUAAAACCUUCAGACAUAUUAAAACCAAAUCAACAAAACGCGUAUAUAACAAAUGUAAGUAGCGGAGUGAUUCAAGACAUGAGUCAACCGCCUCCUGGUUAUCCACCGGCUCUACCGUAUGUCUCUCAACCUUUGUCAAAUAUUAGGCAGAUCAAUCAGCAGAUGCAUCAAAAUCAAAAAAGUCCGCUUCUCGAUGAACGAACAGAUACACAAGAUUACUCUGGAAAUGGUGCAAGACGAGAUAGUAGCAGCGUAGAAAUUGUAAAUUGUGAUAAUACAAGGUCACAAAGUAGAUCGCCUGAUCGGUACAGACAUCAUAGUCGAUCUAGAUCACCUCGACAUAGAGACAGAGACAGAGAUAGGGACCGGGAUCGGGAUCGGGACAGGGAUAGAAAAUCUCGGUCAAGAAGUAGAUCCAGAAGAAGAAGGUCUCGUUCGCGAGAUAGGGGACGUGAGAGAAAACGUGAAGAUAGCCGAGAAAAAAUGACUGAGGAGGAACGAGAAAAAGAAAGAGAAAGACGUAAAAGAGGAUUACCUCCGAUUAUGAGAGACAAAUUAAGCGUUUGUAGUACUACACUUUGGGUAGGUCAUUUAUCCAAGUUGGUACACCAAGAAGAGCUUUCGGAUACUUUUGGAGAAUUUGGCGAUAUUGUCAGUAUAGAUCUGAUUUCACCUAGAGGUUGUGCAUUUAUAUGCAUGAAUAGAAGGCAAGAUGCAUAUAGAGCUCUUACUAAACUUAAAAAUCAUAAAAUGCAAGGAAAAGCAAUUACUUUAGCCUGGGCACCAGGAAAAGGAGUAAAGGGGAAAGAAUGGAAAGAUUAUUGGGAAGUUGAAUUAGGAGUUAGUUAUAUUCCUUGGAAUAAAUUACUUAACGUUACUGAUCAGGAUUUAGAAUUACUUGAAGAAGGAGGUAUGAUUGAUGAGGAUACGCUGCCACCUAAUUUAAAAGGUAAAUUAAAGCAUUCCGGGACAAAUGCAGACGUGCUUCAGCAACAGUUGCAGUUACAGCAGCAAGCUUUAGUUGCAGCUGCUGCACUUCCGAGUUUGACAGACAGUAUCGUGAACGUAAUGCAACCUUCGACUAGCACUCAACAACAACAAUCUCAGCAACAAAAUCAACAGCAAGGUCAACAGCAGCAACAAGUUAUUGAUACAAGUCAACCACCGCCAAUUAGACCCCCUACAUCCGCUGCACUUUUACCACCACCAAAUACACAGUUACAAAUGAUGCCACCUGCUUUCACGAUGCCAGGAGUUCCUCGGAUGAUUGGACCAAUGGGAUUACCAAUGGCACACAGUUUAAUGCCCAACGUUCCAAUAGGCGUGCCUCCACCAAAUAUGCAAAGUUUAUUAGGCCCUCCAGGAAUGAUGCAGACUAUGUUAACACCUCCAGUUAAUUCUCCGUUUGGUGCAGGUGUCGGUGUUGGGUUAUUAACGCAAAUUCCUUUACCUGCACCAGCUGCGCCUUCCGAUAAACCUAAUUCUACUGGUAUGCCACAUAAUGUUCCUCCAAUAGGAGUUCCCCCACCAACGACGGAAACAGGAAUGCCAAAUCUGCCAAUGUUACGUCAACCUUAUGGUGUAGGACCUUCUGCUUCUUUACAAAUGCAACUAUCUCAGCAACAACAUUCUGCAGACGAUAUGGAUGUAGAAAUGGAGGACGCGAUGCCACAGACAUCAAAUGGAGCCAAAAAUAAGAACAAUUUAACCGAGCAACAAUUGUCACAAAAUGAAGAGAGAACAGAGUCUGAUCAAUUAGAGCAACAGCAUCGAGACUACAAAGAAAGAGAAAGAGAGCGUGAAAACAGAGAAAGAAGAGAGAGAGAAACGCACUUGUCUCAUAGAGAUAGAGAAAAUGAUUCUAGAAUGGAUCGUGGGAGAGAAAGGGGCAGAGGAAGAGACAGAGGACGUGAUCGCAGAAGAGAUCUCAGAGAUAGAGACAGAGAUGACAGAAGAGAAAGAGAGAACAGAGAAAAUCGAGAAGGAAAUUCUCAAACUCAAAAUCUAAAUCUUCAGGAAAAUGAAUCUACUCCAAAAAAAGAUGGUAAACCGAGCUUAGCCGAACGUCUGCGUCAGUUGGCCGAUGGCACGCUUCCAUUAGAAGAUCGGGUCGACCGAAUGAUUCCCCGCAAUCGACAAGAUCGGGAUAGAUCUGAUAGAAAUUUCGAAGAUACUCGGUCGGCGCGUGGAGAGCCUCUUUCUUCUCUGAUGGAUUUACCAAAGUUUGGUUUACCGCAAGAGAGAGCUGAUUUCUCGGCUCGGCCUUCAGAUUUCCGUAAUCCUCAAGAUCCAAGAGAGUUUCAGCAACAAAGAGAUAGGCCAAAUUUUGGCAGAGGUCAUAGAGGAUCACAGAUUCACGAAGAAUAUAUUGAUGUACCGAGGCUACAAGGAGGGAUAUAUCAAGAGGAAUUUGAUAAUAGGAUACAUGGCCAACAGAGAGUGGAAGAGUUUGGUAGGCUUGGACCACCCAGGGAACAGAGGGAGGAAUUUGACAGGUCUGAAAUACGAGGAAGAAGACCAUUGGAUGAUCGAGAUCGUUUCGAGUUUGAGAUCAGAAGAGAUGGCUUUGAUCCACGAUUGCCAGAAGGUUUUGAUCCAAGGGGACACCUUGAUCGGAGUGAUUUUGAACCUAGAAGACGAGAAUUCUUUGGAAUUGAUCCUAUCUUUGGGAUGCCACCUAUAAUGGGACCCAGAGGUCCAAGACCUGGACAUCCUGAUGGAUUUGGACCACGUCCAGCUCCUCUAGGAGCUCGUGGUCCAGGUCCUCUAAUGUUUCAUCCACGAGGUUUAGGACCUCGUCCUCUGCGACCUGGCAUGAGACCUUUCGGCCCUCGUGGACCACCUUUUGAUCCACGAGAACCGGACGCCUUUUUCAGACCUCCUUUCGAUGAUAUUCGUCCUCAUAUCAGACCACCAUUCGGCCCUAUGGGUCCACCUUCGAUCGUUCCUCCAGAAACUGCCGCUCCUUGGAGGAAUCAAGAACUCCCGCCUUCUACUUGGUCUUCUGAUUCCGAGAAUCAUUCGCAAAGAGAUAAAAAAGGUGGUAAACAUAUGAACAACCAAAAUGCGGAUAGAGAAAAUCGAAACCGAGGGCGUAAAUCCAGAUGGACUAACGUGAGCCCAUCUGGAGAAGAAACAGAGGAAACGAAGGAACAAGAAUCAACUUCCUUAAAAGAGGAACUACAAAAAGAAGAACCUGUUAAUGAAGGAGAAGUGGUUGCAAAAGAAGAAGAAGAAGAAGAAGAAGAAGAAGAGGAAGAGGAAGAGGAGGAGGAGGAGGAGGAGGAAGAAGAAGUUGUGAAAGAAGAAAUGAUUAAAGAUGAAGUUAAAGAUAUUAAAGCAGAAGAAGUUAUUCCCACUGAGAACCAGCAACAAGAUUUGGAGGAAACGGUUGAAGAAAAGAAAGAAAGCGAGGAUAUAAAGAAGGAAGAGGAGGAUCGCAGGGAUUCUUAGACCAAAGUAAAGAGCAAUUUUUUCUUUAACAUUUUUUCUUACUCUGUGGAGUGGUGUGAGGGAGAAUUCGUUGCUUCAUAUUCAGUUGGGGUCAGUUUGGAAAAAUUUGUUUUAGAAAAUGAAACACUGAAUUUUAGAAUAAUUAUGUUUGAUUAUUAUGGUGCUAAAGUAGUAUGUUUUAAAAAUAAAUUUUUGUAAUAUUUGCAAGGCUAAUAUAAUUUAUUAGAAAUAAAUUUUAAAUGCAAUAAAAAAAUUAUAGUAAAUGAACAUUAAUUAAAGUAUGUAAAAAAAGAAAUUUUAACGCCAAAUAAAAAUAUAUCUUUUAUAUUAUUUAGGAAAUGUGAGAUAUAUUAUUUAUAAAACAAAAAGAUUUCUUUAAUUCAGUGUUUCGAAUAUAGAAAAAAGGCAUUGGUUCCGUGAGCACCUUUUAAUACGUAAAGCGCUAAUUUGUGAAUACUAAACUCGUGACCCGUGGACACAUCCAAGUGACGACUUAUUUAUUGAAUUGUAAAUACUUUUUGUAUUUUCGUAGUGAACAAACAUACAAUAUAUCUGGUUUAAAUAUAUACAUUUAAUUACUUUUUAUAUUAUUGAAGAUACAAGAAAAUCGACAUCGGAUUGAAAGUAUAUUAGUAUUUUCCAAUUAUUAAUUUAAAAAAUUUUAACACUACUAUAUGGUAUAUGAACCUUUACAGCUUAUUUAAAUGUAUGCUCAUAAUUUUUAACCAGUUAAACUACUCUGUUAUUUAAACUAAAAUAUUUGCAAUGGUAAUUCAGUUCCAUUAUUGUUUUAUAUGAAAAUCUUUCUUGUAUCCCCAAUAUCCAGAACAACAAUUAAAUGUAUAUAUAUAAAUAGAUCAUAAUGUAUAGAUAGAUGAAUCUUAACAGUAGAAUCUUGAUUAACCAUGUACGUUUAAAAGUUUCAAGUAUUUUCAUACGAACAUUUUCAUUGAUUAAACAUUAUUCCUUAAAAUUGUGUAUAUGCUAUAGGUAAAUCUAGGUUGAAAUUUUUAUAUGAAACAAAAGAUAAUUUAAUGAUCGUAUUGCUUAAAUUGUAAAUAUUCAAUUUUCAAUAGUGUAUUGAGUUUUUUGUUUGUUAUAAGAGUAAUUAAACAUUUGAUCAAUAGAAAAUGUCAACUACUAAAAUACUUAAGCAUUACUUCGGAUAAGCAAGAUUCUAUCGCCAUAAAUAUUUAAAUAGAUAGAGAGAGAGAUUAUAUACAUACAUAUAUAUAUAUAUAUAUAUAUAUAUAUAUAUAUGUAUAUAUAUGUUGUAUGUAUUGAGUAUGAGACAAUGUGCACGUGUGUAUGCGUAGAUGUCUGUGUAAGGAUGUACAUGAGAGAACACAAAAGUAAAAUAAAGAGCGAAAAUAUAUAUAGCGCCGAUGUUCGGCGUUGCUCAAUCAAACGAACGAAAAAUAAAUAUUUUCUAUAUAACGUCUCUCUUCGUAAGCAAAAUUAUAGCCUUUCAUUCCGCUUGGCUCCCAGAAUUAUCUUCACGUCUGUUUUUAUUUUUUUUUAAAGUUAAGUCCAAACAUCGAUAGAAAUUCACUGUUUUCAAAGAUUUUGUCUGGGAGUCUCCAUAGAAAAACUAAGAACACUAAUUGUUAAUUCUAUUCAUCAGCGUUCGUACGAAUGAUUUGUAUCAUAUCUUUAAUUUUAUCUAUUUUUUGUGCCGUCAUUAUUCAAUCAUACUGGUUUAUGAAAAAAAUUCCAGACAAAAGUUGCGUAGUUUAAAUACUGAAAUAGUUGACAGCAAACAAUUGCAAUACAAUUUUAUUGUAUUUUAUUCAAUCACUACCUAUAAUCAUAGGUACUAUACAAUUUUUUAUUACAUAUUCUCUAUAUAUUUUGUUUAGAAAUUGAAAGAUUACAGCCAUUCAAAACGAUCACUAAUUAUUAUUUAACAUUAAGUAUAAUUUUGGUAUUAAUUUAAAUUUUCUCUUUCGUUUAAUUGAUGUACCAUCGAUAUUCUAGCAUCUUGUUCAGUUUAAUUUAUUUAACUAUGCAAUUUUUAUCUGAAAAAUUUUUUCUCCGAAUAUCGUAUAACGUGUCAAGUUCACAGAAGUCGGAUAACUCUGUAGAUAGAGACUAAUAUAAUUGCACUUGCAACAAAGAAAAAGACGUUAAAACAAAACAGAUGUUUCAAACGAUAUUCGGAACGGAAUGAAAUCUUUUCAGAACAGCUUUAGAUAUUUGUUCAGUACUCGUACUCGUGUGUUCACAUGCGUGAGUCUCUCUCUCUCUGUCGCCACGACGAUGGAACACCAGCCACCAGGUCGCUUGCGCUCAAACUGAGUGACAAGUGCAAGGCACGUUACAUCUUGGAAUGACAAACGGAUCUAUUGCGUGAUUUUUCCUCAAUUCUAUGUAUUUAUUGUAAACAUGAGCAUUUUAAUAAAAUUGCGAUAUAAAUGUACAUUAA